rnacentral:rRNA from 1 species
UACGGGGGGGGCAAGCGUUGUUCGGAAUUACUGGGCGUAAAGGGCGCGUAGGCGGCCUGCUAAGUCGAACGUGAAAUCCCUGGGCUCAACCCAGGAACUGCGUCCGAUACUGGUUGGCUUGAAUCCGGGAGAGGGAUGCGGAAUUCCAGGUGUAGCGGUGAAAUGCGUAGAUAUCUGGAGGAACACCGGUGGCGAAGGCGGCAUCCUGGACCGGCAUUGACGCUGAGGCGCGAAAGCCAGGGGAGCAAACGGG